GUGGAACGCGGUAAACCCCACAAGCGAGAAACCCAAAUUUGGUCGGGGAAAUAAGGAAAGAGAAACGAAUCAAUCCUUAUAGGCAAUGCCUAGAUAAAUGGUUGUCAAAACAGAACAUGGCUUAUAGGA
rnacentral:RNase_P_RNA from 1 species